CACGUAGGGCGCGAGCGUUGUCCGGAAUUAUUGGGCGUAAAGAGCUCGUAGGCGGCCUGUUGCGUCCGCUGUGAAAGCCCGGGGCUUAACCCCGGGUCGGCAGUGGAUACGGGCAGGCUAGAGGUAGGUAGGGGAGAAUGGAAUUCCCGGUGUAGCGGUGAAAUGCGCAGAUAUCGGGAGGAACACCUGUGGCGAAAGCGGCUCACUGGACCACAACUGACGCUGAGGCACGAAAGCUAGGGGAGCAAACAGG
rnacentral:rRNA from 1 species